UGAGCAUUUCGAAACCUGACAUGAAUGAUUGU
rnacentral:piRNA from 1 species